rnacentral:rRNA from 1 species
UUAACCGAAUAGGGGAGCCGGAGGGAAACCGAGUCUUAAUUGGGCGUUAAGUUGCAGGGUAUAGACCCGAAACCCGGUGAUCUAGCCAUGGGCAGGUUGAAGGUUGGGUAACACUAACUGGAGGACCGAACCGACUAAUGUUGAAAAAUUAGCGGAUGACCUGUGGCUGGGGGUGAAAGGCCAAUCAAACCGGGAGAUAGCUGGUUCUCCCCGAAAGCUAUUUAGGUAGCGCCUCGUGAAUUCAUCUCCGGGGGUAGAGCACUGUUUCGGCUAGGGGGCCAUCCCGGCUUACCAACCCGAUGCAAACUGCGAAUACCGGAGAAUGUUAUCACGGGAGACACACGGCGGGUGCUAACGUCCGUCGUGAAGAGGGAAACAACCCAGACCGCCAGCUAAGGUCCCAAAGUCAUGGUUAAGUGGGAAACGAUGUGGGAAGGCCCAGACAGCCAGGAUGUUGGCUUAGAAGCAGCCAUCAUUUAAAGAAAGCGUAAUAGCUCACUGGUCGAGUCGGCCUGCGCGGAAGAUGUAACGGGGCUAAACCAUGCACCGAAGCUGCGGCAGCGACACUCAGGUGUUGUUGGGUA